rnacentral:rRNA from 1 species
GACGAACCGUGCGAACGUUGUUCGGAAUCACUGGGCUUAAAGGGCGCGUAGGCGGGCCCUCAAGUCCGGGGUGAAAUCCUCCCGCCUAACGGGAGAAGAGCCUCGGAGACUGAGGGCCUCGAGGGGGGUAGGGGCGUGCGGAACUAUGGGUGGAGCGGUGAAAUGCGUUGAUAUCGGAAGGAACAUCAGUGGCGAAGGCGACUUCCUGGACCAAUACUGACGCUCAGGUGCGAAAGCGUGGGGAGCAAACAGG